UGCAGUCGACGGGCGUAGCAUACGUCAGUGGCAGACGGGUGAGUAUCGCGUGGGAACGUACCUUUUGGUUCGGAACAACACAGGGAAACUUGUGCUAAUACCGAAUAAGCCCUUACGGGGAAAGAUUUAUCGCCGAAAGAUCGGCCCGCGUCUGAUUAGCUUGUUGGUGAGGUAACGGCUCACCAAGGCGACGAUCAGUAGCUGGUCUGAGAGGAUGAUCAGCCACAUUGGGACCGAGACACGGCCCAGACUCCUACGGGAGGCAGCAGUGGGGAAUUUUGGACAAUGGGCGAAAGCCUGAUCCAGCCAUGCCGCGUGCAGGAUGAAGGCCUUCGGGUUGUAAACUGCUUUUGUACGGAACGAAAAGCCUCUUUCUAAUAAAGAGGGGUGAUGACGGUACCGUAAGAAUAAGCACCGGCUAACUACGUGCCAGCAGCCGCGGUAAUACGUAGGGUGCGAGCGUUAAUCGGAAUUACUGGGCGUAAAGCGCACGUAGGCGGGAUUGGUCAGUUAGGGGUGAAAUCCCAGGGCUCAAC
rnacentral:rRNA from 1 species